GACGAACGCUGGCGGCGUGCUUAACACAUGCAAGUCGAACGGAAAGGCCCUGCUUGCAGGGUACUCGAGUGGCGAACGGGUGAGUAACACGUGGGUGAUCUGCCCUGCACUUCGGGAUAAGCCUGGGAAACUGGGUCUAAUACCGGAUAGGAGCCAUUUUUAGUGUGAUGGUUGGAAAGUUUUUUCGGUGUAGGAUGAGCUCGCGGCCUAUCAGCUUGUUGGUGGGGUAAUGGCCUACCAAGGCGGCGACGGGUAGCCGGCCUGAGAGGGUGGACGGCCACCAUGGGACUGAGGUUCGGCCCAGACUCCCACGGGAGGCAGCAAUGGGGAAAAUUGGAAAAUGGGGGCAAGCCUGAUGCAGCGACGCCGCGGGGGGGAUGACGGCCUUCGGGUUGGAAAACCCUUUCGCUAGGGACGAAGCUUUUUGUGACGGUACCUAGAGAAGAAGCACCGGCUAACUACGUG
rnacentral:rRNA from 1 species